GACGAACGCUGGCGGCGUGCCUAAUACAUGCAAGUCGAGCGCAGGAAGCCGUCCGAACCCUUCGGGGGGACGACGGUGGAAUGAGCGGCGGACGGGUGAGUAACACGUAAAGAACCUGCCCAUAGGUCUGGGAUAACCACGAGAAAUCGGGGCUAAUACCGGAUGUGUCAUCGGACCGCAUGGUCCGCUGAUGAAAGGCGCUCCGGCGUCGCCCAUGGAUGGCUUUGCGGUGCAUUAGCUAGUUGGUGGGGUAACGGCCCACCAAGGCGACGAUGCAUAGCCGACCUGAGAGGGUGAUCGGCCACACUGGGACUGAGACACGGCCCAGACUCCUACGGGAGGCAGCAGUAGGGAAUCUUCCACAAUGGACGAAAGUCUGAUGGAGCAACGCCGCGUGAACGAUGAAGGCUUUCGGGUCGUAAAGUUCUGUUGUAAGGGAAGAACAAGUGCCGCAGGCAAUGGCGGCACCUUGACGGUACCUUGCGAGAAAGCCACGGCUAACUACGUGCCAGCAGCCGCUGUAACAC
rnacentral:rRNA from 1 species